GGCGAACGGGUGAGUAGCGCAUCGGAACGUGCCCAGUAGUGGGGGAUAGCUCGGCGAAAGCCGGAUUAAUACCGCAUACGACCCAUGGGUGAAAGCGGGGGACCGCAAGGCCUCGCGCUAUUGGAGCGGCCGAUGCCCGAUUAGCUAGUUGGUGAGGUAAAGGCUCACCAAGGCAACGAUCGGUAGCUGGUCUGAGAGGACGACCAGCCACACUGGGACUGAGACACGGCCCAGACUCCUACGGGAGGCAGCAGUGGGGAAUUUUGGACAAUGGGGGAAACCCUGAUCCAGCCAUGCCGCGUGCGGGAAGAAGGCCUUCGGGUUGUAAACCGCUUUUGGCAGGAACGAAACGGCGCGCGCUAAUACCGCGCGCUAAUGACGGUACCUGCAGAAUAAGCACCGGCUAACUACGUGCCAGCAGCCGCGGUAAUACGUAGGGUGCAAGCGUUAAUCGGAAUUACUGGGCGUAAAGCGUACGCAGGCGGCUGUGCAAGACAGGUGUGAAAUCCCCGGGCCCAACCUGGGAACUGCACUUGUGACUGCA
rnacentral:rRNA from 1 species